rnacentral:rRNA from 1 species
UGGGGAAUCUUGGACAAUGGGGGCAACCCUGAUCCAGCCAUGCCGCGUGGGCGAAGAAGGCCUUAGGGUUGUAAAGCCCUUUCGGCGGGGAAGAUAAUGACGGUACCCGCAGAAGAAGCCCCGGCUAACUCCGUGCCAGCAGCCGCGGUAAGACGGAGGGGGCUAGCGUUGUUCGGAAUUACUGGGCGUAAAGCGCGCGCAGGCGGAUAUUCAAGUCGAGGGUGAAAGCCCGGGGCUCAACCCCGGAAUGGCCUUUGAUACUGGAUGUCUCGAGUACGGGAGAGGGUAGUGGAAUUCCCAGUGUAGAGGUGAAAUUCGUAGAUAUUGGGAAGAACACCGGUGGCGAAGGCGGCUACCUGGCCCGGUACUGACGCUGAGGCGCGAAAGCGUGGGGAGCAAACAGGAUUAGAUACCCCCGUAGUCC